rnacentral:rRNA from 1 species
UAGGGAAUCUUCGGCAAUGGACGGAAGUCUGACCGAGCAACGCCGCGUGAGUGAAGAAGGUUUUCGGAUCGUAAAGCUCUGUUGUAAGAAAAGAACGAGUGUGAGAGUGGAAAGUUCACACUGUGACGGUAUCUUACCAGAAAGGGACGGCUAACUACGUGCCAGCAGCCGCGGUAAUACGUAGGUCCCGAGCGUUGUCCGGAUUUAUUGGGCGUAAAGCGAGCGCAGGCGGUUAGAUAAGUCUGAAGUUAAAGGCUGUGGCUUAACCAUAGUAGGCUUUGGAAACUGUUUAACUUGAGUGCAAGAGGGGAGAGUGGAAUUCCAUGUGUAGCGGUGAAAUGCGUAGAUAUAUGGAGGAACACCGGUGGCGAAAGCGGCUCUCUGGCUUGUAACUGACGCUGAGGCUCGAAAGCGUGGGGAGCAAACAGGAUUAGAUACCCUGGUAGUCCACGCUGUAAACGAUGAGUGCUAGGUGUUAGACCCUUUCCGGGGUUUAGUGCCGUAGCUAACGCAUUAAGCACUCCGCCUGGGGAGUACGACCGCAAGGUUG